rnacentral:piRNA from 1 species
UGAACCUUGGCUUGCUGCUCAAGUGC